rnacentral:rRNA from 1 species
AAUAGAUACCCUGGUAGUCCACGCCGUAAACGAUGUCGACUUGGAGGUUGUGCCCUUGAGGCGUGGCUUCCGGAGCUAACGCGUUAAGUCGACCGCCUGGGGAGUACGGCCGCAAGGUUAAAACUCAAAUGAAUUGACGGGGGCCCGCACAAGCGGUGGAGCAUGUGGUUUAAUUCGAUGCAACGCGAAGAACCUUACCUACUCUUGACAUCCAGAGAACUUGCCAGAGAUGGCUUGGUGCCUUCGGGAACUCUGAGACAGGUGCUGCAUGGCUGUCGUCAGCUCGUGUUGUGAAAUGUUGGGUUAAGUCCCGCAACGAGCGCAACCCUUAUCCUUGUUGCCAGCGGUUAGGUCGGGAACUCAAAGGAGACUGCCAGUGAUAAACUGGAGGAAGGUGGGGAUGACGUCAAGUCAUCAUGGCCCUUACGAGUAGGGCUACACACGUGCUACAAUGGCGCAUACAAAGAGAAGCGACCUCGCGAGAGCAAGCGGACUUCAUAAAGUGCGUCGUAGUCCGGA